rnacentral:RNase_P_RNA from 2 species
CGGCGUGGACAGGCGGUCGCUCGUGCCGGCUUGACCGGUCCGAGAGGAAAGUCCGAACACGUCAGGACACGGUGGUGGGUAACGCCCACCGGCCGCGAGGCCAGGGACAGUGCCACAGAAAACAUACAGCCGAUGGCCCCGCUUGUCGGGGCACAGGCAAUGGUGAAAAGGUGCGGUAAGAGCGCACCGCCCGUCUGGUGACAGUCGGGGCAUGGCAAACCCCACCGCGUGCAAGACCAAAACGCCCCGGCGCCCUUUGGGGCCGCGACUGGUCCGGUCGCAAGGGGCAGGUAGGUCGCUUGAGCGCGUUGGCAACGGCGCGCCUCAGAGAAAUGGCCGCCACUCGUGCCGCGAAAGCAGUGCGAGUUACAAAAUUCGGCUUAUCGUCCACGCCGCAUU